rnacentral:SRP_RNA from 1 species
UAGCGGUUCCCUGUACUCGAAAUCCGCUUUAUGCGAGACUUAAUUCCUUUGUUGAGGGCGUAUUUUUGUGAAGUCUGCCCGAAGCACGUAGUGUUUGAAGAUUUCGGUCCUAUGCAAUAUGAACCCAUGAACCAUGUCAGGUCCUGACGGAAGCAGCAUUAAGUGGAUCCUCAUAUGUGCCGUAGGGUAGCCGAGAUUUAGCU